AUUGAACGCUGGCGGCAGGCCUAACACAUGCAAGUCGAGCGGCGCGCGGGACGGGGGCGGAUGACCUAGGAAUGUGACUGGGAGUGGGGGAGAACGACCGGGAACGGGCGCUAACUCCGAAUACCAUCAGCUGAGCCUGGGCCCGAUUAGCUAGUUGGUGGGGUAAGGGCCUACCAAGGCGACGCCCCGUAUCUGGUCUGAGAGGAUGAGCAGUCACACUGGAACUGGGACACGGUCCAGACUCCUACGGGAGGCAGCAGUGGGGAAUAUUGGACAAUGGGCGAAAGCCUGAUCCAGCCAUGCCGCGUGUGUGAAGAAGGUCUUCGGAUUGUAAAGCACUUUAAGUUGGGAGGCGUUACAAACAGAAGAAGCACCGGCUAACUCCGUGCCAGCAGCCGCGGUAAUUC
rnacentral:rRNA from 1 species